CAGGGUUUGACAUCCUGCGAAUCUCUUGGAAACGAGAGAGUGCCUUCGGGAACGCAGUGACAGGUGGUGCAUGGCUGUCGUCAGCUCGUGUCGUGAGAUGUUGGGUUAAGUCCCGCAACGAGCGCAACCCACGUCGUUAGUUGCCAGCAUUUAGUUGGGCACUCUAGCGAGACCGCCGGUGAUAAACCGGAGGAAGGUGUGGAUGACGUCAAGUCAUCAUGCCCCUUACAUCCUGGGCUACACACGUACUACAAUGCUACGGACAAAGGGCAGCAAACUCGCGAGAGCUAGCAAAUCCCAUAAACCGUGGCUCAGUUCAGAUCGUAGGCUGCAACUCGCCUACGUGAAGGAGGAAUCGCUAGUAAUCG
rnacentral:rRNA from 1 species